CAGCUGAGCAGGACCUGAGCGACACAGAUGCAGAGGAUGUCCAAUCUGAGCAGACUGCAACCACAAGUCAACAAGGAAACUCAGAGGGUGGACAUUCAGAUCACAGGGCUGCUACCUCAAGGAAGAAGACUGGGGUCAUAAAAAACUUGUUGCCAUCAAAAGGAGAAAUCAAGAAGGCCCUGGUCACAGUCUGAGAGAGAAACCGUGGAACAACAUUUCAAGGACUUCCUGAAGGAAGAUCCCUGGAAAAGUAGACUGUCAAAGAAGCUUAAAUGAAAAUAAGACUGGACAAUGAAAGACUGGAAAGCCGUAAAAUACU